CUACAGAAAGGACAAAAGCUCCCGGGAAAGCGAGGAAACGGCCUGGAAAAAGAUGGAGUUUAAAUCAGAUCUAGGCCCUCAAGUCGGGCCCCGAGGCCGCAGGUCCCCCACCCUAGACCAAACCCGGAAGCCAAGAUGAGCGCGGAAGUGCACGGGGCCAAGAGUGACGUCCCAGGCCCAUGAAAGGAGUGAGGAAGAAAUUGCCCUUAAAGUCUGUGGAUGGGGAGGCGUUCGUGACAAAGCAAGCGAUGGAGACCAACCCACGAGGUGAACAUCUAGUCACACCUGAUUUUUCACCUAUGAAGUUGAGUCUUUGAACUCUGCCUUCCAUAAGAGUGAGCUUGAGGUCUUUCCUUCAGCAUGGCCUCCACGCCAUCACCGACAGUUGGCCAGAGUCUCAAAGGACAUUAUCCUCUCCAGUGUCUUAUGUUGGAAUCUCUAUAUGCUUUUAAAUUUCUUUGUACCCUGAGGAAUCAGUGGAUGAAAGCACACUGGAAACAUCACCAAGAUAACAGAAUUGCUUAGUACCAUCCACCUGCAGAUGCCUGAUGGCUUAAGC